rnacentral:rRNA from 1 species
CGAAGGGUGCAAACGUUGCUCGGAAUCAUUGGGCGUAAAGCGCACGUAGGCGGCGAUCUAAGUCGGAUGUGAAGUCCCUCGGCUCAACCGAGGACGUGCAUCCGAAACUGGAUUGCUCGAGUAUGGAAGAGGGUCGCGGAAUUCUCGGUGUAGAGGUGAAAUUCGUAGAUAUCGGGAGGAACACCAGUGGCGAAGGCGGCGACCUGGGCCAAUACUGACGCUGAGGUGCGAAUGCGUGGGGAGCAAACAGGAUUAGAUACCCUGGUAGUCCACGCCGUAAACGAUGAGUGCUAGGUGCUAUGGGUAUUGACCCCCGUGGUGCCGUAGCUAACGCGUUAAGCACUCCGCCUGGGGAGUACGGCCGCAAGGCUA